AAUAUUUGUCAAUGGGCGCAAGCCUGAACCAGCCACGUCGCGUGAAGGAAGACGGCCCNACGGGUNGNAAACUUCUUUUGUAAGGNCAUAAAGUGUAGUACGUGUACUAUUUUGCAUGUACCUUACGACUAAGGAUCGGCUAACUCCGUGCCAUCAGCCGCGGUAAUACGGAGGAUCCGAGCGUUAUCCGGAUUUAUGUGGUUUAAAGGGUGCGCAGGAGGGAGAUUAAGUCGGAGGUGAAAAUUUGCAGCUCAACUGUAAAAGUGCCUUCGAAACUGGUUUCCUUGAGUGUGGAUGAAGUAGGCGGAAUUUGUGGUGUAGCGGUGAAAUGCAUAGAUAUCACGAGGAACUCCGAUUGCGCAGGCAGCUUACUAAGCCAUAACUGACGCUCAGGCACGAAGGCGUGGGGAUCAAACAGG
rnacentral:rRNA from 1 species